GACGAACGCUGGCGGCGUGCUUAACACAUGCAAGUCGAACGGAAAGGCCCUGCUUGCAGGGUACUCGAGUGGCGAACGGGUGAGUAACACGUGGGUGAUCUGCCCUCCACUUCUGGAUAAGCCUGGGAAACUGGGUCUAAUACCGGAUAGGAGCCAUUUUUAUUGUGAUGGUUGGAAAGUUUUUUCGGUGUAGGAUGAGCUCGCGGCCUAUCAGCUUGUUGGUGGGGUAAUGGCCUACCAAGGCGGCGACGGGUAGCCGGCCUGAGGGGGUGGACGGCCAAAAUGGGGAUGGGGAAAGGCCCAGAAUCCUACGGGAGGCAGCAGUGGGGAAUAUUGCACAAUGGGCGCAAGGCUGAUGCAGCGACGCCGCGGGGGGGAUGACGGCCUUCGGGUUGUAAAACCCUUUCGCUAGGGACGAAGCUUUUUGUGACGGUACCUAGAGAAGAAGCACCGGCUAACUACGUG
rnacentral:rRNA from 1 species